GCAUAUCAAUAAGCGGAGGAAAAGAAACCAACAGGGAUUGCCUCAGUAACGGCGAGUGAAGCGGCAACAGCUCAAAUUUGAAAUCUGGCCCUUUCAGGGUCCGAGUUGUAAUUUGCAGAGGGUGCUUUGGCGUCGGCCGUGGUCUAAGUUCCUUGGAACAGGACGUCACAGAGGGUGAGAAUCCCGUACGUGGCCGCCGGUCUUCGCCGUGUAAAGCCCCUUCGACGAGUCGAGUUGUUUGGGAAUGCAGCUCUAAAUGGGAGAUAAAUUUCUUCUAAAGCUAAAUAUUGGCCAGAGACCGAUAGCGCACAAGUAGAGUGAUCGAAAGAUGAAAAGCACUUUGGAAAGAGAGUCAAAAAGCACGUGAAAUUGUUGAAAGGGAAGCGCUUGCAGCCAGACGUGCCCGCAGUUGCUCACCCGGGCUCUCGCCCGGGGCACUCUUCUGCGGGCAGGCCAGCAUCAGUUCGGGCGGUUGGAUAAAGGCCUCUGUCACGUAUCUUCCUUCGGGAUGACCUUAUAGGGGAGGCGCAACACGACCAGCCCGAACUGAGGACCGCGCAUUCGCUAGGAUGCUGGCGUAAUGGCUGUAAGCGGCCCGUCUUGAAACACGGACCAAGGAGUCUAACAUCUAUGCGAGUGUUUGGGUGUCAAGCCCGGACGCGCAAUGAAAGUGAACGGAGGUGGGAACCCUUCGGGGUGCACCAUCGACCGAUCCUGAAGUCUUCGGAUGGAUUUGAGUAAGAGCAUAGCUGUUGGGACCCGAAAGAUGGUGAACUAUGCCUGAAUAGGGUGAAGCCAGGGGAAACCCUGGUGGAGGCUCGCAGCGGUUCUGACGUGCAAAUCGAUCGUCAAAUUUGGGCAUAGGGGCGAAAGACUAAUCGAACCAUCUAGUAGCUGGUUCCUGCGA
rnacentral:rRNA from 1 species